ensembl:snRNA U6 U6 spliceosomal RNA
GUGCUCACUUCAGGAGCACAUAUACUAAAAUUGGAGUGAUAUAGAGAAGAUUAGCAUGGCCCCUCCCUGCGCAAGGAUGGCAUGCAAAAUCAUGAAGCAUUGAAAAAAAGG